GCGGUGGAUGAUGUGGAUUAAUUCGAUGCAACGCGAAAACCUUACUACCCUUGACAUGUCCGGAAUCCCGAAGAGAUUUGGGAGUGCUCGCAAGAGAGCCGGAACACAGGUGCUGCAUGGCUGUCGUCAGCUCGUGUCGUGAGAUGUUGGGUUAAGUCCCGCAACGAGCGCAACCCUUGUCAUUAGUUGCCAUCAUUUGGUUGGGCACUCUAAUGAGACUGCCGGUGACAAACCGGAGGAAGGGUGGGGAUGACGUCAAGUCCUCAUGGCCCUUAUGGGUAGGGCUUCACACGUCAUACAAUGGUCGGUACAGAGGGUUGCCAACCCGCGAGGGGGAGCUAAUCCCACAAAGCCGAUCGUAGUCCGGAUCGCAGUCUGCAACUCGACUGCGUGAAGUCGGAAUCGCUAGUAAUCGUGGAUCAGCAUGUCACGGUGAAUACGUUCCCGGGUCUU
rnacentral:rRNA from 1 species